rnacentral:rRNA from 1 species
CCUGGCUCAGGAUGAACGCUGGCGGCGUGCCUAACACAUGCAAGUCGAACGGAAAGCUACCGCUUCGGAGACUUCGGUCAAUGUUUGGUAGUUUUUAGUGGCGGACGGGUGAGUAACGCGUGGAUAACCUGCCUCAUACAGGGGGAUAACAGUUAGAAAUGACUGCUAAUACCGCAUAAGCGCACAGGAUCGCAUGUUUCUGUGUGAAAAACUCCGGUGGUAUGAGAUGGAUCCGCGUCUGAUUAGCUAGUUGGCGGGGUAACAGCCCACCAAGGCGACGAUCAGUAGCCGGCCUGAGAGGGUGAACGGCCACAUUGGGACUGAGACACGGCCCAAACUCCUACGGGAGGCAGCAGUGGGGGAUAUUGCACAAUGGGGGAAACCCUGAUGCAGCGACGCCGCGUGAGUGAAGAAGUAUUUCGGUAUGUAAAGCUCUAUCAGCAGGGAAGAUAAUGACGGUACCUGACUAAGAAGCACCGGCUAAAUACGUGCC